UAUAUAUAUAUAUAUAUAUAUAUAUAUAUAUAUAUAUAUAUAGCCCCGCCGCGGUGGUCUAGUGGCUAAGGUACUCGGCUGCUGACCCGCAGGUCGCGGGAUUGAAUCCCGGCUGCGGCGUCUGCAUUUUCGAUGGAGGCGAAAAUGCUGUAAGCCCGUGUGCUCAGAUUUGGGUGCACGUUAAAGAACCCCAGGUGGUCAAAAUUUCCGGAGCCCUCCACUACGGCGUCUCUCAUAAUCAUAUCGUGGUUUUGGGACGUUAAACCCCAGAUAU